GACGAACGCUGGCGGCGUGCUUAACACAUGCAAGUCGAACGGAAAGGCCCUGCUUUUGUGGGGUGCUCGAGUGGCGAACGGGUGAGUAACACGUGAGUAACCUGCCCUUGACUUUGGGAUAACUUCAGGAAACUGGGGCUAAUACCGGAGAGGAGCUCCUGCUGCAUGGGGGGGGUUGGAAAGUUUCGGCGGUUGGGGAUGGACUCGCGGCUUAUCAGCUUGUUGGUGGGGUAGUGGCUUACCAAGGCUUUGACGGGUAGCCGGCCUGAGAGGGUGACCGGCCACAUUGGGACUGAGAUACGGCCCAGUCUCCUACGGGAGGCAGCAGUGGGGAAUAUUGCACAAUGGGCGGAAGCCUGAUGCAGCAACGCCGCGUGCGGGAUGACGGCCUUCGGGUUGUAAACCGCUUUCGCCUGUGACGAAGCGUGAGUGACGGUAAUGGGUAACGAAGCACCGGCUAACUACGUG
rnacentral:rRNA from 1 species